CAAGAGUUUGAUCCUGGCUCAGGAUGAACGCUGACAGAAUGCUUAACACAUGCAAGUCUACUUGAUCCUUUGGGUGAUGGUGGCGGACGGGUGAGUAACGCGUAAAGAACUUGCCCUGCAGUCUGGGACAACAUUUGGAAACGAAUGCUAAUACCGGAUAUUAUGCGAGUCUCGCAUGAGGUUCGUAUGAAAGCUAUAUGCGCUGCAGGAGAGCUUUGCGUCCUAUUAGCUAGUUGGUGAGGUAACGGCUCACCAAGGCGAUGAUAGGUAGCCGGCCUGAGAGGGUGAACGGCCACAAGGGGACUGAGACACGGCCCUUACUCCUACGGGAGGCAGCAGUGGGGAAUAUUGGACAAUGGACCAAAAGUCUGAUCCAGCAAUUCUGUGUGCACGAUGAAGUUUUUCGGAAUGUAAAGUGCUUUCAGUUGGGACGAAGAAAGUGACGGUACCAACAGAAGAAGCGACGGCUAAAUACGUGCCAGCAGCCGCGGUAAGACAGUGU
rnacentral:rRNA from 1 species